GUUUUUUCAGAGAUGCUACCAAAAAUGUAAAAAGGUAGAAUAGCCCCCAGGUUUACUUAACAACUUCUGACUCCAAGCAUCAUGACAUACAAUAUUUGGCCACAAAAUAUCUGUUACUCCUAUGAGCAAGAAUAAUAAGUGUUGGUUGCUACAGAAUCCUCUCUAGUAUCCUGAAGUCUUUAACUACUUAGCACAUGGAAAAUCUAAUGACUUAUAUAUAGCUAAAUACAUCUAUCCAAUUAUAAAAUUUAGAAGCUGAAAGCUGGGGAGCACCUCCAAAGUUUAACGGAUCCAGUCCCACUGCUUUCAGGGUAACUGUUCCAACACGGAGGAUGACGGAGUGGCCUCAGACAAUGUCUUAGAGUUACUGAUAGAUGCAGCAUCAUAGAUUAACCCCAAAUGUAUUGUGCUAAGUGAAAGAAGCCAGACUGAAAGUCUAUACACUGCAUGCUUUCAUUUAUAUGACAUUUUGUAAAACAUAGAACUGCAGGGACAGGAAAUAGAUCAGCAGUUGCAACCGACGAGGGUUGAGGGUAGGGUAUCGAUUACAAAAGAGCUGGGGGGGCACCUGGCACAGUAGCUCACGCCUGUAAUCCCAACACUUUGGGAGGCCGAGGUGGGCAGAUUGCCUGAGCUCAGAAGUUCGAGACCAGCCUGGGCAAUAUGGUGAGACCCUGCCUCUAGAAAGAAAAAGAAGGGAAAAAAAGAGCUUGGGGGAAUUUUAGGGGAUGAUGGAAAAAUUCUGUAUCUUGAUGAUGGCAAUGGUUACUUGACUAUAUGCAUUUGUCAAAAUUCAUAGAACUGUAUGCACUAAAAAGGGUGAAUUUUACUGUACAUAAAUUAUACCUGAAUUAUCUAACAAAAAAAAAAAAAGAGUGUUUUUGGUGAGACUGUGUGUGUGGACAGAAAGGCAGAUGCUAUCACUUUUUUGCUGGAGAGUCUCACGUUUCAAUAAAUGCCAGCAGUUCCCACACGGGGAAUAGGCAGUUCCCCUAAACAGAGUCAUUUCCCUGCUCCCACCUUCAUUUCCACUAGUGGCCUGAGCUCCAUCAGGCACAAUGAAGGUCCCACUCAGGAAGGGCCAAGGUUCAGGAAGAGGGAGCAGAGGCGAUGGGGUGGAGCAGCCCACUCUGUGGGCAGCAGAGAGGGCUGGGUAAAACGAAGCGGUUCAUCCCUGAAGCUGCUCAGUCACUCCCUCGGUUAAUUAUCUGUCUUCUGAUUCAUGAGUUGUGGUUCCUGUGGGCAUGCUUCCUGGAGAUUUCUGCCAACAAGGGAAGAAGGGUUCUUGGGACUGGGAGGGGAUGAUAACCUCAGAUCCCAAGUAGGGUGGGGAGCUUUAGAGGAGAAAUUUCGAUCAGGAAAUUCUAAAGUCAUAGCCAGACUCCCCCUCCUCACUGUGGUGUGCUUGCCCCAUCUUAUGGUCUUCCCAGGAGACCUCUGUCACUCCUCACCCUUGCCCCAACACCCACACGUCCAAGGGGGAGAAAGGAGAAUGUUGCCCUUCUAACGGCUCCUCCCAGGAGGGAAAAAAAGGCAGACACUUUACAGAGGAUCCCUUGAGUUUUUCACACUCUCAGAUCACAGGUCUAAAUGGUGCAACAGUGCAGCGGCCCAAAUGCCCAAAGAAUUCAUGAUCUUGGCUAUGUUUUCAUACCCUCCAGAUUAUCCAAACGGAGCACUUGAGGAUCUUGUAUGAAUGAGUGCAAAUAUUCAAAUAUUGGGUUUCUUAAAGGGAGGCACAUCAUCUAUAGAUGCCUUUACAUAGCAUUCCACAGAUAUUUGUUUUGCUGCCUAUGUGCCAGGCAGUGGGCAUAGAGUAUUGAACAAAAUAGACAUGUCCCUCUUCUCAUGGAACUUGAAGUCUUAUAGAUCCUUUUAUCUUCCUCUUUUUUCAGAUACAGGGCUUGAGGUUUUCUUAUGGGUAAAGCAAAUGUAUAAGCCUUUUUCCUUCUUGGCUUCUUCUGUGGAUUCUUGCCGGGUUAGAGUAGCUGAGAUAUGCCAAACCAGCAAUGAGGAACGAGUUGAAAUAAGAGGGACCCCCUCUCACAUAUGUGGGGGAAAGGGACCCCAUCAGUUUCAUUCUGGAAGCCUGCAUAGCGCAUAUGCAUGAAGUAGUAACAGCUUUUGCCUCCAAUACAUGGCAGAUAGCAUGGAUAGGAAGAAUAAUGACAAUAGUAGUUGUCAUUCAUUAAACACUUAUUUUGUGCCUCUGUUUCAUUUAAUCAGCAUAAUCAUAGGCAUUGUUUCCUCUGCCUUACAAAUGAGGAAACUGAGGACUCAAGAGAUUAGGUAACUUAUUUAAGGCCACACAGCCUACAGGAGACAAAGUCAAGAAUCAAACCCACAUCUUACUGGCUUUAAACCAUAGCCCUCCCUUUCCGAAGCCAACAAGCCUUCCUGCUGUGUUUCUCCAGGACCUGAGGAUACCUGCAGAGGGCUUCGAUUGGAGAGCUUCUAGGAUAUAAACUCCAGAAGAGAAAUAAGCACCUCAGCUUAGACCUAAUUAGGUCAGAAUAAAAACCUAAACACGAGGAAGACACAAAACCCAUACUUCCUGGGUGAAGCUAAAAAGAUCAUCUUUGUACAUAAAAUGAAAAACUUGAUGCUAUCCUCAGUCAAUCUCUCUUCUCCCCAAAGCAGACUCCGCUACUCUGGGACAACCUCUCUGUGCCACUCAGCUCUUUCUGUGCCCCUUCAACACUUGGAGUCCCAACACAACUCUCCUACUCUCAUCCCACCAUCUGCUUCCCCAGGGAUCUGAAGACCCUACCACCAACACUGGGAUGGCAGAUAUAAAUAUAGUAGAAACUGAUUUGUGAGGUUGGGGGGGGGGGUAUUACUCUGGAAGUCUGACUUUAGAGCCCCUGCCCUUAAACACUACUGUACACUGCUUCUCAGAGAGAGUGUGGGGCUAGCUCAGCACAACCCAUUACCACUUCUGGAAUCGCCCCAAUCACAAGAUUAAUCUGUGAACAGAUCGCCUAAGGAUUUUUUUUUAAUUUUUAGUAGAGAUUAGGUCUCACUAUGUUGCCCAAGCUGGUCUCGAACUCCUGGGCUCAAGCAAUCCUUCUACCUCCACUUCCCAAAGUGCUGGGAUUACAGGCGUGAGCCACCGUGCCUGACCAGAUAUCUUAAAGGAUCUUUUAAUGCAAACUUACGUAUGUCAAUGCAGUGGAAUCCAAUACACUCCAAAGUGAAUUUAGAAGACUGUGAAUGUGAAAAUUUUUUAAUGACAGCAAAAAUUGUCGUAAGUGCAUGGAAGCAAGCAUCUCAUCCUGGACAGGACAAGGAUACCCUUUUUUUAAUUAUGUAUUUAUUUAUUUAUUUAUUUAUUUAUUUUUACUGAGUUGCCCUGGUGGAUUUCUCCAUUCCCGGCAUCAAUAGCCAGCAGCAUCUGACCCAAGGCUCCACAUGUCCCAGGGCAGAAUGCUGGAGAUUCUUAUUUCUGUGUCAUAGUCAUCAGACUGCUCACUGCACGCUAACACUAUCAGCUGAUCUGUUUUAGUCCCAGUCACAUAGGAAAUGCAGCAAUAACCACUGCAAUAUUCCUCUACAUAUCAACUGUAAUCCCUCCUUCAAGAUACCCUUGGCCGGGUGCGGUGGCUCACGCCUGUAAUCCCAGCACUUUGGGAGGCCAAGGCAGGCUGAUCACGGGGUCAAGAGAUCGAGAUCAUCCUGGCCAACAUGGGGAAAUCCCGUCUCUACUAAAAAUACAAAAAUUAGUAGGGCGUGGUGGUGCGUGCCUGUAAUCCCAGCUACUCGGGAGGCUGAGGCAGGAGAAUCCCUUGAACCCGGGAAGCGGAGGUUGCAGUGAGCUGAAAUCGCGCCACUGCACUCUAGCCUGGCGACAGCGAGAGUCCAUCUCAAAACAAACAAACAAACAAAAAAAGAUAUCCUUGCCCUGUCCAGAAUGAGUUAUACGUCUAUACAUACACAGAAGAGUCUUGACGGGAAUCACUAAAGUAUUUUCGAAUAGUUUAUCUUUGAAGUGAAUUUAUCAACAAAUCUUCCCUUUUUAAAAUAAAUCCUGGCCAGGUGCGGUGGCUCACGCCUGUAUUCCCAGCACUUUGGGAGGCUGAGGUGGGCGGAUCACUUGAGGCCAGGAGCUCCAGACCAGCCUGGCCAACAUGGUGAAACCGCGUCUCUACUAAAAAUACAAAAAUUAGCCGGCCGUGGUGGCAGGCGCCUGUAAUCCCAGCUACUCGGGAGGCUGAGCCAGAAGAAUCGCUUAAACCCAGGAGGCAGAAGUUGCAGUGAGCCGAGAACCCACCACUGCACUCCAGCCUGGGCGACAGAGCAAGACUCCGUCUCAAAAAUAAAUAAAUAAAUAAAUAAAUAAUAAAAUAAAAUAACAAAUCCCUUCUGCAGGGUGUAGAUUGUUUUACGAGUACUACAGUUUUUAUUAAAAAUACUUACAUGCACUCUUGUGUCAUCCUCUGAGGCAGAGGCGGCCCCAGCAGACCAGGAGCCAGGGUUUCUCUCCAGCCCAGGCAAAAUCACCAAGGACUCAGAGAGGACCACGGGCAGCAACCCCGGGCUGUGCCCGCUCCAUCCCUCCACCUGUGUCCCCAGUACCAAAGAGGCCGAAUGCCAAUUGCCCUGACGGCUGACGGUGUGCGCAGCAGCCAGAGACAAAGCCAAGGAUCCCACCGGCCCAAGGGAGCCUUUUCAUGGCUCCCCGAAUACACUAGAGAUUUUUCGGGUGCAGGGUCUGCCCUGGGAGCAGAGGCACCGCUGCCACCUGGGGACACUGGAGGAGGCAAAGCCCUCAUCCUGCUCCAAAACAACCCCGCAGGAAGCCAAGUUGAAGGUAAAAAAAAGAAAGAAAGAAAGAAAAAAGGAAAAGAAAAAACCUUCUGGAGAAAGCGUAACAGGAGAAAUUGGAAAUGUGGGGAAACUGGCAAACCCGCGCGCGCGCACGCUCUCACCCAGGAAGCUACAGCGGCAUCCCUCUGCCAAGGCGCGGGAACAACCCCCG
rnacentral:lncRNA from 10 species